UCGAUUACCGCUCGCACUGUAGUCGUACGAGGUAGCCUAGUAAGACUCUUCGGAGGGAAGGCAGUGGAAUGAGCGGCGGACGGGUGAGUAACACGUAAGGAACCUGCCUCAAGGAUUGGGAUAACUCCGAGAAAUCGGAGCUAAUACCGGAUAGUUCAACGGACCGCAUGUUCCGUUGAUGAAAGGCGCUUCGGCGUCACCUUGAGAUGGCCUUGCGGUCAUUAGCUAGUUGGUGGGGUAAUGGCCCACCAAGGCGACGAUGCAUAGCCGACCUGAGAGGGUGAUCGGCCACACUGGGACUGAGACACGGCCCAGACUCCUACGGGAGGCAGCAGUGCGCAAAUCUUCCACAAUGGACGAAAGUCUGAUGUGCACUGCCUGGUGAGUGAUGAAGGUCUUCUCAUCAUAAGAGUCUAUUGUAACCGAGGACCACGUAUCAGCGUUAAUGCUCGAGCAUAGACUUGACCUCACGAGCGAGCAACGGCUUAUUACGAGUCAGCAGCGGCGUUCGUGCUUAUUCGAAUUGCAUUGCAUGGUAUUAUGCUUGGGCGAGCGCGCGUAGACUGCCUUUUAGAGUCUGAUGUGAGAGCGGCCUGCUCAGCGGGGAGGUCCAUUGGGAUACUUGCAGGCCUUGAGUGCCGAGACACGACUAGCACUCAGACGUGUAGCGGUGAGACGCUGUAGAGAUGUGGAGUACAUCAGUGUUGAUGCCCGACUCUUUCGCCUGUCACCUGACGCUGACGCAGCGAAAGGGGUGGCGCAUGCCACACAUGAAUUGGCUCUCCAGUAGUCCACCACUUGUAAACGGAUGACGUGCUAGUGCUAGGCGUGUCUUUCCGUCACUCAGUGCUGCACUACGAAUUGAGGCUCCUCCCGCUGGGGCGGAGGUGCGUCUGACAAGUCUGAAAUACUCAAAGGCCCACUGACGGGAGCUUUUCGACACCGGAUUGUAUGCCGUAGUCCUUAUGUUCAUCAGCGUUUAGCGAGCCUUCACGAACU
rnacentral:rRNA from 1 species